rnacentral:rRNA from 1 species
AGAGUUUGAUCAUGGCUCAGAUUGAACGCUGGCGGCAUGCUUUACACAUGCAAGUCGAACGGCAGCACGGGAGCUUGCUCCUGGUGGCGAGUGGCGAACGGGUGAGUAAUGCACCGGAACGUACCCAGUAAUGGGGGAUAACACAUCGAAAGAUGUGCUAAUACCGCAUACGCCCUGAGGGGGAAAGCGGGGGAUCGUAAGACCUCGCGUUAUUGGAGCGGCCGAUGCCGGAUUAGCUAGUUGGUGAGGUAAGAGCUCACCAAGGCGACGAUCCGUAGCUGGUCUGAGAGGACGACCAGCCACACUGGGACUGAGACACGGCCCAGACUCCUACGGGAGGCAGCAGUGGGGAAUUUUGGACAAUGGGCGCAAGCCUGAUCCAGCCAUGCCGCGUGAGUGAAGAAGGCCUUCGGGUUGUAAAGCUCUUUCGCAAGGAAAGAAAACUUAUCUACUAAUACUAGGUGAGGUUGACGGUACCUUGAUAAGAAGCACCGGCUAAC